rnacentral:rRNA from 1 species
UACGUAGGGUGCAGGCGUUAAUCGGAAUUACUGGGCGUAAAGCGUGCGCAGGCGGUUUCUUAAGUCAGAUGUGAAAGCCCCGGGCUCAACCUGGGAACUGCGUUUGAAACUGGGAGACUGGAGUGUGGCAGAGGGGGGUGGAAUUCCACGUGUAGCAGUGAAAUGCGUAGAUAUGUGGAGGAACACCGAUGGCGAAGGCAGCCCCCUGGGUUAACACUGACGCUCAGGCACGAAAGCGUGGGGAGCAAACAGG